AAGCCAGGGCCCGGAGUGAUGCAACCCACAAGCGUGGAAGGGGCUGGCGGAUGGGCUGUCUCGGGGCUGAUCUGAUGUCAGAGCAGAUCAUGUGGUGCUCUGUGGGCAGCAGGGACUGGCCCGCGGGAAGCACAUGGAUUACAGUCUGAGGCUGUGAUGGGAAAGUCGGAUCCUGGGCUGUUGUCUCACACACAUCAGCAGGCGGGGAAGCUGGGGACUCCGACUCGCCCUGCCCGGGCCCUCCUGCUGCGUGGUCACAGGCAAUCGCUGAGAGAAGCUGCUGCUCCAGUUGAUGGCUAAAACACCUGUACCAAUAUAUAAACCAACAAGGAAUCUGCUUCAACCCAAUUUAUAAAUAACAGUUUUACAUGGCACAGGAGCUUUAGAAAUGAAGACCCAGAGAAACAGUGUCACCCGUGUCCCUGAGCUCAAAUAGUUCCUUGUCUACUUGCCCUUGGCUUUUCUAGGCUUCUGGAGAGAAGGGCCAAAUGUUGUCCUCUUCCCAGAGUACCUGGGCCAAGAUGUUGGUUGUUUACAAAAUCGGCAACAGUGAGAGUCCAGCUGGAGAUGUGUGAGCUGAAAAUCCAGUUCAGGAGUCCUUACCAUUUGAAGAGAAUACAGAAAAUAAAACUUAAGUGAUUUGAACCAUA